rnacentral:sRNA from 1 species
CCCUAGCCCUGAUUGUAGCGGCAUCCUUUUAUAGGCUUUUUAGACUAUAAAAGAUACAGCGAAAAGCGGGAAAUAGC